rnacentral:rRNA from 1 species
CCUACGGGGUGCAGCAGUCGAGAAUCUUUCACAAUGGGGGAAACCCUGAUGGUGCGACGCCGCGUGGGGGAAUGAAGGUCUUCGGAUUGUAAACCCCUUUCAUGUGGGAGCAAAUUAAAAAGAUAGUACCACAAGAGGAAGAGACGGCUAACUCUGUGCCAGCAGCCGCGGUAAUACAGAGGUCUUAAGCUGUGGUCGGAAGCACUGGGCGUAAAGCGUGCGGAGGCUGUUUCGUAAGUCGUGUGUGAAAGGCGCGGGCUCAACCCGCGGACGGCACAUGAUACUGCGAGACUAGAGUAAUGGAGGGGGAAGCGGAAUUCGCGGUGUAGCAGUGAAAUGCGUAGAUAUCGAGAGGAACACUGGUGGCGAAGGCAGGUUCCUGGACCUUAACUGACGCUGAGGCACGAAGGCCAGGGGAGCGAAAGGGAUUAGAUACCCGGGUAGUC